rnacentral:rRNA from 1 species
AAUUUUGGACAAUGGGGGAAACCCUGAUCCAGCCAUCCCGCGUGUAUGAUGAAGGCCUUCGGGUUGUAAAGUACUUUUGGCAGAGAAGAAAAGGUAUCUCCUAAUACGAGAUACUGCUGACGGUAUCUGCAGAAUAAGCACCGGCUAACUACGUGCCAUCCGCCGCGGUAAUACGUAGGGUACAAGCGUUAAGCGGAAUUACUGGGCGUAAAGCAUGUGUAGGCGGUUCGGAAAGAAAGAUGUGAAAUCCAAGGGCUCAACCUUGGAACUGCAUUUUUAACGGCAGAGCUAGAGUAUAUCAGAGGGGGGUAGAAUUCCACGUGUAGCAGUGAAAUGAGUAGAUAUGUGGAGGAAUACCGAUGGCGAAGGCAGCCCCCUGGGAUAAUACUGACGCUCAGACACGAAAGCGUGGGGAGCAAACA